rnacentral:lncRNA from 1 species
GCCAACACAAAUUUUUCUUUAUAUAAGAGGAACUUAGGGUUUUCUACAAUGUAACUGGAUCUUAUUGGGGUAAAUUUUUUCAGGCAGAGAUUUGGGUCGUUACAAAAACAUUACAGAAAAAAUAUGGAAACAAGAGGUUGGAAUUAUAGCAGAGUGGAAGGAGACGAUCUUAAAGACGAUGAUGGCAGUCAAGACGAAACUUUUGAUACCUCUGAUCCUGUAUCAAGACGAA